GGAGCCAAAGAGACCGGGCCGGAUUCUCAGAGCACCCAGCGAGCUUUUCGAAACCAGAGGUAGGAGGGGCGAAGAAGAAGAGGCGGAGAGAGCGGCGCGGAGGACGACGGGAGAAGGGCGCCAGGACUGAUGCGCAGCGUUUAUGACGUAAGCGUGGAGGUGGUUUGAGGUAGCAACUGAGUGGGCUCUCUGGCUCAGAGGAAAAUAUUCCCCUGAUGCGAAAACUGAUGGCUACAUGGUAAGAUAAACUUGAAGCAACCUGAGGAUGAAGCCAACCCAGAGGAGAGUAAAACUGAGAGACACACUGGCUUAUCUCCCCUCUGAGGGCUUUCUCCUCCCUCAAUUCCCAGGAAUUACUCUGGAUCUCUCCUGCCUCACAAGAUCCUGACGGAUGGCCCAGGAAAAACUGCAUCUGAAGCAGAAGAAAACUGAAAAGAAACACAUCAGAAGGUUAAUAGUGUCUAUCUCUGUAAGAAAGAGUUGGCUGGGUGCUCUGCUCUUUGUCUGCCUCAUUCCAGGAUAAAGACUGACGGAGCAGCUAUGAGAAGGAAAGAAAGUGUGAGCCACAAUCAAACGGAAUGACCAGAAAGAACAGUGACGGGAAUUUGAAACAGUGUCAUGGGGAGAGCGGCUGAAGCAAGAAAGAAGCUCUGAGGAAGGGUACUGCCAUCUCCAAAUAUCUAAAGUGCCGAAAGGAUUUUCAUUCUUUUCCUUUCUUUUUUUUUCUGAAUCUUCACUGGGCACUGAUUCUGUGGUAAGUGUUGGUUAGGUCCUGAAGAUAUAAGGUUGAAUAUUAUACAGCCUGCUUAAACUCUAUACUGUCUGUUUACUGUCAAGAGAAACAUGUAUUGAAUGGGGACUUUAAAGCAGGAGGGGCCAUUCCCACAGAGCCUUCUAGCACCUUUCCCUGAGGCAACACUCCUCCUCUGGCGCUCAGCUCAGCUCAGCAGAGAAGCCGCCCAGACCAUCCUGGCAAUGUUAAAUGCUACAAUUACAUCCUCUCCUGGCACCAUGUACUUCUCCUUUGUAGCACUCAUCCUCACUGCAAUUUUGCAUUUAUUUGUGCAAUUAUUUGAUUAAAGUCUGUCUCCCCUGCCAAACUGCAAGGGCCAUAAGAACAA